rnacentral:tRNA from 1 species
GCCCUGGUGGCACAAUGGUAAAGUGCUCGGUUACUAACUGAAAGGUUGGUGGUUUGAACCACCCAGGUGCU